rnacentral:rRNA from 1 species
GACGAACGCUGGCGGCGUGCUUAACACAUGCAAGUCGAACGGAAAGGCCCUGCUUUUGUGGGGUGCUCGAGUGGCGAACGGGUGAGUAACACGUGAGUAACCUGCCCUUGACUUUGGGAUAACUUCAGGAAACUGGGGCUAAUCCCGGAUAGGAGCUCCUGCUGCAUGGUGGGGGUUGGAAAGUUUCGGCGGUUGGGGAUGGACUCGCGGCUUAUCGGCUUGUUGGUGGGGUAGUGGCUUACCAAGGCUUUGACGGGUAGCCGGCCUGAGAGGGUGACCGGACAAAUUAGAAAUGAGAUAAGGCACGGACUACUACGGGAGGGAGCAGUGGGGAAUAUUGAACAAUGGGCGGAAGCAUGAUGCGGCAAAGCCGCGUGCGGGAUGACAGCAUUCGGGUUGUAAACCGAUUUCGCCUGUGACGAAGCGUGAGUGACGGUAAUGGGUAAAGAAGCACCGGCUAACUACGUG